rnacentral:rRNA from 1 species
AUGAAGCCUUUCGGGGUGGAUUAGUGGCGAACGGGUGAGUAACACGUGGGCAAUCUGCCCUUCACUCUGGGACAAGCCCUGGAAACGGGGUCUAAUACCGGAUAAUACUUCUGCCUGCAUGGGCGGGGGUUGAAAGCUCCGGCGGUGAAGGAUGAGCCCGCGGCCUAUCAGCUUGUUGGUGGGGUGAUGGCCUACCAAGGCGACGACGGGUAGCCGGCCUGAGAGGGCGACCGGCCACACUGGGACUGAGACACGGCCCAGACUCCUACGGGAGGCAGCAGUGGGGAAUAUUGCACAAUGGGCKAAAGCCUGAUGCAGCGACGCCGCGUGAGGGAUGACGGCCUUCGGGUUGUAAACCUCUUUCAGCAGGGAAGAAGCGAAAGUGACGGUACCUGCAGAAGAAGCGCCGGCUAACUACGUGCCAKCAGCCGCGGUAAUACGUAGGGCGCAAGCGUUGUCCGGAAUUAUUGGGCGUAAAAGAGCUCGUAGGCGGCUUGUCGCGUCGGAUGUGAAAGCCCGGGGGCUUAACCCCGGGUCUGCAUUCGAUACGGGCAGGCUAGAGUGUGGUAGGGGAGAUCGGAAUUCCUGGUGU